GAAGCCGGAGCGAAAGCGAGUCUGAAUAGGGCGUAUAGUCGCGUGCUGUAGACCCGAAGCCGAGUGAUCUAUCCAUGGGCAGGUUGAAGCGAGGGUAAGACCUCGUGGAGGACCGAACCCACCUAGGUUAAAAACUGGGGGGAUGACCUGUGGAUAGGGGUGAAAGGCCAAUCAAACUCGGUGAUAGCUGGUUCUCCCCGAAAUGCAUUUAGGUGCAGCGUCGUUUGUUCAGUCAUGGGGGUAGAGCACUGGAUGGGUUAGGGGCCUACAAGCUUACCGACCCCAACCAAACUCCGAAUACCAUGACUCCAGAGAACGGCAGUGAGACUGCGGGGGAUGAGCUUCGCAGUCGAAAGGGAACAGCCCAGACCGCCGGCUAAGGCCCCUAAUUCUAGACUAAGUGGAAAACGAUGUGAGAUUGCCCAGACAGCCAGGAGGUUGGCUUAGAAGCAGCCACCCUUGAAAGAGUGCGUAACAGCUCACUGGUCGAGUGAUCUUGCGCGGAUAAUGUAACGGGGCUCAAGU
rnacentral:rRNA from 1 species